rnacentral:rRNA from 1 species
GUCGAGGGGCAGCGGAUCCUUCCGGGGAUGCCGGCGACCGGCGAACGGGUGAGUAACACGUAUGGAACCUACCCUUAACUGGGGAAUAGCCUUGAGAAAUCGAGGGUAAUACCCCAUAUCAUCUGAAAGAGGCAUCUCUUUCAGAUGAAAGCUCCGGCGGUUAAGGAUGGCCAUGCGGUUCAUUAGCUUGUUGGUGAGAUAACCGCUCACCAAGGCUACGAUGAAUAGCUGAUCUGAGAGGAUGAUCAGCCACAUUGGCACUGAGACACGGGCCAAACUCCUACGGGAGGCAGCAGUAGGGAAUCUUGGUCAAUUGGCGAAAGCCAGAACCAGUCAUGCCGCGUGCAGGAUGAAGGCCCUACGGGUCGUAAACUGCUUUUAUUCGGGAAGAAAAAGUCUGUUUCCACAGACCUUGACGGUACCGAUUGAAUAAGGACCGGCCAACUCCGUGCCAGCAGCCGCGGUAAUACGGAGGGUCCAAGCGUUAUCCGGAUUCACUGGGUUUAAAGGGUGCGCAGGCGGCCAAGUAAGUCAGUGGUGAAAGCCUUCGGCUCAACCGGAGAAUUGCCAUUGAAACUACUUGGCUUGAGUGCAGCAGAGGUAGGCGGAAUGUAGCAUGUAGCGGUGAAAUGCAUAGAUAUGCUACAGAACACCGAUAGCGAAAGCAGCUUACCACACUGUAACUGACGCUGAGGCACGAAAGCAUGGGUAGCAAACAGGAUUAGAUACCCUGGUAGUCCAUGCCGUAAACUUUGAACACUCGGAGUUUGCCACCUAGUGGUAAGCUCCCUAGCGAAAGCGUUAAGUGUUCCACCUGGGGAGUACGGCCGCAAGGCUAAAACUCAAAGGAAUUGAC